AAAGGAAUAGACGGGGGCCCGCACAAGCGGCGGAGCAUGCGGAUUAAUUCGAUGCAACGCGAAGAACCUUACCAAGGCUUGACAUACGCAGAAAACCGGCAGAGAUGUCGGGUCCGCAAGGGCUGCGUACAGGUGGUGCAUGGUUGUCGUCAGCUCGUGUCGUGAGAUGUUGGGUUAAGUCCCGCAACGAGCGCAACCCUCGUUCCAUGUUGCCAGCACGUUAUGGUGGGGACUCAUGGGAGACUGCCGGGGUCAACUCGGAGGAAGGUGGGGAUGACGUCAAAUCAUCAUGCCCCUUAUGUCUUGGGCUUCACGCAUGCUACAAUGGCCAGUACAAAGGGCUGCGAGACCGUAAGGUGGAGCGAAUCCCAAAAAGCUGGUCUCAGUUCGGAUCGGGGUCUGCAACUCGACCCCGUGAAGUCGGAGUCGCUAGUAAUCGCAGAUCAGCAACGCUGCGGUGAAUACGUUCCCGGGCCUUGUACACACCGCCCGU
rnacentral:rRNA from 1 species